UGCCAGCAGUCGCGGUUACACCAAGGAAUUAAGUCAUAUUUAAAUGGUAAAAAGACAGUUAGACUUAAAUAUAUCUAAGCUUCUUGACCAUUUAUAAAAAAGUAAAAUUUAUAUAUAAAUGUGUAAUCUAAAAAUAGCUAUAGGUUGAAUCUGUGACAGCUUGGAGGGAAACUGGGAUUAGAUACCCCAUUAUUCCUGGCUAUAAAUUAAAUUAAAUUUACCAGAGUACUAUGAAUACUAUAAAAUUUAAAACUCAAAGGACUUGGCGGUGUUUUAGACCACUCAGGGGAACCUGUCCCGUAAUCGAUAAUCCACGUUACACCUAACCCACUUUUGCUUUCAGCUUGUAUACCGUUGUCGUCAGGUAACUUUUUAGAAUUCAGAAGUUAGCUAAAAAUAAUAAGUUUAAACGUCAAAUCAAGGUGCAGCUAACAAGGGGGAGAGGAUGGGUUACAAUUAUUUAAUUAUAACUACGAAAGAUCAUAAGAAUAAACGAUUAAGAAGGAGGACUUGAAAGUAAAUUAAAUUAUAGAAAUAACUUGAAUAAGGCUCUGAAAUGCGCACACAUCGCCCGCCGCUC
rnacentral:rRNA from 1 species